rnacentral:rRNA from 1 species
CAUGCAAGUCGAGCGAACAGACGGGGAGCUUGCUCCCCCGACGUUAGCGGCGGACGGGUGAGUAACACGUGGGUAACCUACCUAUAAGACUGGAAUAACUCCGGGAAACCGGGGCUAAUGCCGGAUAACAUGUUGGACCGCAUGGUCCUACAGUGAAAGACGGUCUUGCUGUCACUUAUAGAUGGACCCGCGCCGUAUUAGCUAGUUGGUAAGGUAACGGCUUACCAAGGCAACGAUACGUAGCCGACCUGAGAGGGUGAUCGGCCACACUGGAACUGAGACACGGUCCAGACUCCUACGGGAGGCAGCAGUAGGGAAUCUUCCGCAAUGGGCGAAAGCCUGACGGAGCAACGCCGCGUGAGUGAUGAAGGCCUUCGGGUCGUAAAACUCUGUUAUUAGGGAAGAACAAAUGUGUAAGUAACUAUGCACGUCUUGACGGUACCUAAUCAGAAAGCCACGGCUAA